rnacentral:tRNA from 1 species
GCGGGCCUGGCCGAGCGGUUUAGGCAUCAGCCUUCCAAGCUGAGUACAUGGGUUCGAUUCCCGUGGCCCGCUCCA